GUGAGUAACACGUGGAUAACCUACCUAUAAGACUGGGAUAACUUCGGGAAACCGGAGCUAAUACCGGAUAAUAUUUUGAACCGCAUGGUUCRAAAGUGAAAGACGGUCUURCUGUCACUUAUAGAUGGAUCCGCGCUGCAUUAGCUAGUUGGUAAGGUAACGGCUUACCAAGGCAACGAUGCAUAGCCGACCUGAGAGGGUGAUCGGCCACACUGGAACUGAGACACGGUCCAGACUCCUACGGGAGGCAGCAGUAGGGAAUCUUCCGCAAUGGGCGAAAGCCUGACGGAGCAACGCCGCGUGAGUGAUGAAGGUCUUCGGAUCGUAAAACUCUGUUAUUAGGGAAGAAYAUAUGUGUAAGUAACUGUGCACAUCUUGACGGUACCUAAUCAGAAAGCCACGGCUAACUACGUGCCAGCAGCCGCGGUAAUACGUAGGUGGCAAGCGUUAUCCGGAAUUAUUGGGCGUAAAGCGCGCGUAGGCGGUUUUUUAAGUCUGAUGUGAAAGCCCACGGCUCAACCGUGGAGGGUCAUUGGAAACUGGAAAACUUGAGUGCAGAAGAGGAAAGUGGAAUUCCAUGUGUAGCGGUGAAAUGCGCAGAGAUAUGGAGGAACACCAGUGGCGAAGGCGRCUUUCUGGUCUGUAACUGACGCUGAUGUGCGAAAGCGUGGGGAUCAAACAGGAUUAGAUACCCUGGUAGUCCACGCCGUAAACGAUGAGUGCUAAGUGUUAGGGGGUUUCCGCCCCUUAGUGCUGCAGCUAACGCAUUAAGCACUCCGCCUGGGGAGUACGACCGCAAGGUUGAAACUCAAAGGAAUUGACGGGGACCCGCACAAGCGGUGGAGCAUGUGGUUUAAUUCGAAGCAACGCGAAGAACCUUACCAAAUCUUGACAUCCUUUGACAACUCUAGAGAUAGAGCYUUCCCCUUCGGGGGACAAAGUGACAGGUGGUGCAUGGUUGUCGUCAGCUCGUGUCGUGAGAUGUUGGGUUAAGUCCCGCAACGAGCGCAACCCUUAAGCUUAGUUGCCAUCAUUAAGUUGGGCACUCUAAGUUGACUGCCGGUGACAAACCGGAGGAAGGUGGGGAUGACGUCAAAUCAUCAUGCCCCUUAUGAUUUGGGCUACACACGUGCUACAAUGGACAAUACAAAGGG
rnacentral:rRNA from 1 species